UACAGAGGGUGCAAGCGUUAAUCGGAAUUACUGGGCGUAAAGCGCGCGUAGGCGGUUGUAUAAGUUGGAUGUGAAAUCCCCGGGCUUAACCUGGGCACUGCAUUCAAAACUGUACGGCUAGAGUGUAGGAGAGGAAGGUAGAAUUCCAGGUGUAGCGGUGAAAUGCGUAGAGAUCUGGAGGAAUACCGAUGGCGAAGGCAGCCUUCUGGCCUAACACUGACGCUGAGGUGCGAAAGCAUGGGGAGCAAACAGG
rnacentral:rRNA from 3 species